AGAAGACCGAGCGGGACUAUGUGGGCACGCUGGAGUUCCUGGUGUCGAAAGACAAGUUUCGUAUCUAUGAUGAAUAUUGUAGUAACCAUGAGAAGGCACAAAAAUUACUUCUUGAACUCAACAAAAUAAGAACAAUCCGGACAUUUCUUUUGAACUGCAUGCUGCUUGGAGGACGGAAGAACACAGAUGUUCCCUUGGAAGGAUAUUUAGUAACACCAAUACAAAGAAUAUGCAAGUACCCUCUUAUUUUGAAGGAGUUGCUGAAGCGGACUCCACGGAAACACAGUGACUAUGCAGCAGUGAUGGAAGCCCUCCAAGCCAUGAAAGCUGUCUGUUCCAACAUAAACGAGGCCAAGAGACAGAUGGAAAAGUUAGAAGUUUUAGAGGAAUGGCAGUCUCACAUUGAAGGCUGGGAGGGGUCCAACAUCACUGACACCUGCACUGAAAUGCUAAUGUGUGGAGUCUUACUGAAAAUUUCUUCGGGAAAUAUUCAAGAACGGGUGUUUUUUCUUUUCGAUAAUCUUUUGGUGUACUGCAAAAGAAAACACAGACGGUUGAAGAACAGCAAGGCAUCUACAGAUGGACAUCGGUACCUUUUUCGUGGCCGGAUCAACACGGAGGUGAUGGAAGUGGAGAAUGUGGAUGAUGGCACCGCUGAUUUCCAUAGCAGUGGACACAUUGUUGUUAAUGGAUGGAAGAUACAUAACACAGCAAAAAAUAAAUGGUUUGUUUGUAUGGCAAAAACACCUGAAGAGAAGCAUGAAUGGUUUGAAGCUAUUUUGAAAGAAAGAGAACGGCGGAAAGGUUUAAAAUUAGGAAUGGAGCAAGAUACCUGGGUCAUGAUCUCUGAACAGGGUGAGAAACUUUAUAAAAUGAUGUGCAGACAAGGAAAUCUGAUCAAAGACAGAAAAAGAAAACUGACUACGUUCCCUAAAUGCUUUCUUGGAAGCGAAUUUGUGUCAUGGCUGUUGGAAAUUGGAGAGAUUCACAGGCCUGAGGAAGGCGUGCACUUGGGACAAGCAUUAUUAGAAAAUGGAAUCAUUCACCAUGUUACUGAUAAACAUCAAUUCAAACCAGAACAGAUGUUAUAUAGAUUUCGCUAUGAUGAUGGAACAUUUUAUCCAAGAAAUGAGAUGCAGGACGUGAUUUCAAAGGGUGUAAGAUUAUAUUGUCGUCUUCAUAGCCUUUUUACUCCAGUGAUAAGAGAUAAAGAUUACCAUUUAAGGACCUACAAAUCUGUGGUCAUGGCCAACAAACUGAUAGACUGGUUAAUUGCACAGGGAGAUUGCCGCACCAGAGAAGAGGCAAUGAUAUUUGGCGUUGGACUCUGUGACAAUGGAUUUAUGCACCAUGUCCUUGAAAAAAGCGAAUUCAAAGAUGAACCCCUACUUUUCCGUUUUUUUUCGGAUGAGGAAAUGGAGGGAUCAAAUAUGAAACAUCGACUUAUGAAACAUGACUUAAAAGUUGUGGAAAAUGUUAUAGCUAAGUCAUUAUUGAUUAAAUCCAAUGAAGGCAGCUAUGGCUUUGGGCUAGAAGACAAAAAUAAAGUUCCAAUAAUAAAGUUGGUAGAAAAGGGAUCUAAUGCUGAGAUGGCUGGCAUGGAAGUCGGGAAAAAGAUUUUUGCUAUUAAUGGUGACCUAGUUUUUAUGAGACCUUUCAAUGAAGUGGAUUGCUUCCUGAAAUCAUGUUUAAACAGCAGAAAACCUCUAAGAGUUCUUGUGAGCACAAAGCCAAGAGAGACAGUGAAAAUUCCAGAUUCAGCUGAUGGACUUGGCUUCCAGAUCCGGGGAUUUGGCCCUUCUGUUGUGCAUGCUGUAGGAAGAGGAACUGUGGCUGCAGCAGCUGGUCUUCACCCUGGACAGUGCAUUAUCAAGGUGAAUGGAAUCAAUGUCAGCAAAGAGACACAUGCCAGUGUCAUUGCACACGUUACAGCCUGCAGGAAGUACAGGCGGCCAAUGAAGCAAGAUUCCAUACAAUGGGUUUAUAAUAGCAUUGAGAGUGCUCAAGAAGACCUUCAAAAAUCUCACUCCAAGCCCCCUGGAGAUGAAGCAGGGGAUGCUUUUGACUGUAAAGUAGAAGAGGUUAUUGACAAAUUCAACACUAUGGCCAUCAUUGAUGGGAAGAAGGAGCAUGUGAGUCUGACAGUGGACAAUGUCCACCUGGAAUAUGGUGUCGUGUAUGAGUACGACAGCACAGCUGGCAUCAAGUGCAAUGUGGUGGAAAAGAUGAUUGAGCCCAAAGGUUUCUUCAGCUUAACUGCCAAGAUUCUUGAAGCCCUGGCUAAAAGUGAUGAGCAUUUUGUACAAAACUGUACCAGCCUAAAUUCUCUAAAUGAAGUGAUUCCUACUGACCUUCAGAGUAAAUUCAGUGCCCUUUGCAGUGAAAGAAUUGAACACAUAUGUCAGAGAAUAUCCAGUUAUAAAAAGUUUUCUCGUGUACUGAAGAAUAGGGCCUGGCCUACUUUUAAACAGGCCAAAUCUAAAAUCUCCCCACUGCACAGCAGUGAUUUCUGCCCUACCAACUGCCAUGUCAACGUGAUGGAAGUUUCUUAUCCCAAAACAUCAACCUCUUUGGGAAGUGCAUUUGGUGUUCAGUUGGAUAGUAGGAAGCAUAAUUCUCAUGAUAAAGAAAACAAAUCUUCGGAGCAAGGGAAACUGAGCCCUAUGGUGUACAUUCAGCACACCAUCACAACCAUGGCGGCCCCUUCAGGUCUGUCUCUGGGACAGCAGGAUGGCCAUGGUCUCAGGUAUCUGCUAAAAGAAGAAGACUUAGAAACCCAAGACAUCUAUCAGAAACUGCUGGGCAAACUUCAGACUGCACUGAAAGAGGUGGAGAUGUGUGUUUGUCAAAUAGAUGAAUGAAUUAAACAGUUCAAGAUUGCUAAGAGAAAAGGAGAGUAUUUUUUUAAGCAAUUGCAUGACAUUUUUGAAUUGUGUUGGAAUCCUUGUGACAGCAGUUUAUAUUUUAGGAUAUGAUAUUUUACUUCAUUUAAUAAAUGAGAUUUUAUUGCAUGAU
rnacentral:sRNA from 1 species